rnacentral:rRNA from 1 species
UACGGAGGAUGCAAGCGUUAUCCGGAAUCAUUGGGCGUAAAGCGUCCGCAGGCGGUUAUUCAAGUCUGCUGUGAAAACUCGGGGCUUAACUCCGGGCCUGCAGUGGGUACGGGCAGACUAGAGUGCGGUAGGGGAGACUGGAAUUCCUGGUGUAGCGGUGAAAUGCGCAGAUAUCAGGAGGAACACCGGUGGCGAAGGCGGGUCUCUGGGCCGUAACUGACGCUGAGGAGCGAAAGCGUGGGGAGCGAACAGG